rnacentral:lncRNA from 1 species
GUCUAGGCUGCCCCGGUUGGCUGUGGCUGAGGAGGCUGACGGCCAGGAAGCCUGGAUCACGGCGGCCCACUCCGACACCGUGUCCCCCCGUGCACUGGCUCUGGGUGCCGCCUCGAGCCAGGAGACUUCCCCGGGCCAAACCCCCCCAGAAGUGGCUGACCCUGACCACCAUCGUGGGGUUAGGCUGCCCCGGUUGGCUGCCCCAGCCGCUGGCGCCAACGACAGGAUCGUCCUCCGCCCCCCUACUGAGGCCAAGCCACCGGGCCAUAACCCCAGCUACCCUCGUGGGGCUAGGCUGCCCUGGUUGGCUGCCCCAGCUGGUGGCAGCAACGAGAGGAUCGUCCUCCUCCCCCCUACUGAAGCCAAGACACCGGGCCAUAACCCCCGCUACCCUCAUGGGGUUAGGCUGCCCCGGUUGGCUGAGGCUGACGGCCAGGAAGCCUGGAUCACGGCGGCCCGCUCCGACACCUUGUCCCCCCGUGCACUGGCUCUGGGUGCCGCCUCGAGCCAGGACACUUCCCCGGGCCAAACCCCCCCAGGUGAAGAAGUCGUAUGCUUAAGUGUAUUGCAAAUAUAGUUUAAAUAUACAAAAAGUUAUUACAAGUAUAUUUGUCGUAUUAAAAUAUGCUUAAGGUGUACUUUUAAACAGUGUCCUUCACAGUGGAUCCAACAGGUCCUCUGCUGGCCGCCCCACUGAGCCGCCGUCGGGCGCUCGGAGGCGCCGAGGCGGACCUCCCUGGGACGGAGCACUCCCAGUCCGGUCACGGCCAGAGGUCCCAGGCCCCAGGCAGCCCGCCGGCCUCUGAUGUUCCUGAAGGCGUGGUGGGCAGAGGUAAGUACUCGUUCAGCCCGUUUCCCCCUGUGCAGGAGCCUCUGAGGAACGUCAGGAUCCAGCAGGAGAAGCUCCGGGGCCAGCCCCCCCACCAGGCAGGGGAAGAGGCCGGGCCCUCUGGGAAGCAGCAAAAAAACGGGGGCCGCUGUUUCCCCAACCAGAGCCUGACCGCUGAGCCCAAGCUGGAGGAGAAGCUGUUGGAUAGCAGAGGUAAGAAUGGCUUCUCUUACACAAAUAAAUCAAUUCAAUGUAACUCUUCUUUUUUUAUAGUAUUGAGCCUGCAUACCGCAAAACUUUAAUUAUCAGCCCGUGCUUUUAUUUGUUUCAAUCCCUGAACUCAAUCCCUGAAGAGUUACAAACGACCUCCUGAGGUCAUCCGACGCUGGCUCCCCCUCCCUCCUCAUCCUUCUGCAUCCUUCUGGAUCUCUCUGCUGCUUUUGACACAGUCGACCAUGACAUUCUUCUAAACCGCCUCCACCUCACCACUGGACUCACUGGCACUCCCCUCAGUUGGUUUCAGUCAUACCUCAAAAACCGGAUAGAAUGCAUCUCCCUGGGUCCCUCCAAAUCGAACCCACACACAGUCACUUGCGGUGUCCCCCAGGGUUCAGUCCUUGGCCCCAUCCUCUUUAUCCUCUACCUCAUCCCCCUUGGUCAGGUCAUCAGCCGCCACGGUUUCUCAUUCCACUGCUAUGCCGACGACACACAGCUCUAUGUCAAUGCCACAGCUGCCACCCCACCUUUAACAUCACCGUCAUCCCCAUCAAAACUCACCACGUGCC